GGCAUGCUGGGGCGCGCCAAGGCCCCCGCGUUGCCGGGCCUCCACCGGCAAAGCGGCCAGCCCGGGGGAUUUGGGAAGCCGCUUUUUUGUGUGUGAAUGGGAACCAUAUUACUCACUCCUCAUGGAGGUUUAUGCAGCAAAAGAUCUUGGAUUUGUACAGAAACAGAAGACUAUCCCUAAGUCUCAAGACCUGCAGUGUUCAUCAGACUCAUCAAGAAUCUGAUACUCUUAGGAACAGAAACAUUCCUCUUGAAGAAAAAGAAGAGAAGGGAGAAUAUUGAAUCA